AGGGCGCCUGGAAAGCGCUGGCCCGGGCCGCCGUCGGGUCGGGGACCGCCCUGGGCUCUGGGGCUGCCGCUAACCGGCGGACCUUGCCAUUAGCUUAGAACCCCUGGCCCGGAGGCGCCCUUCCGAGCUCGCCCUCUCCCUGAGGUCCCGUGCAGCCGUCGCCCGGCCUACCGGUGCCUUGCGACCCUGCACGGUCCCAGGGCGGUCCAGCCAUGUCUCACGACGUCGCAAUGACCCCACCGCACAGGCCACGAACCCCGUCAGACCCUCCCGGCCCUUCCAGUGGGGCCGCUCCGUCUGGACCCUCCUCCUUCCCGGGCCCCUUGCCCAUCAUCAGCAAGCCCCAGGCCUUCAACUGAUGGUAUGAGUCCCACCCACAGGGAUAUCAAGGCACAUGGCCAUUUUACUGAAAAUAAAAAGACGACUACAAAAACUC